AGCUCAGUUGGUAGAGCAGUUGACUUUUAAUCAAUUGGUCGCAGGUUCGAAUCCAUGUC
rnacentral:tRNA from 1 species